UACGUAGGGUCCGAGCGUUGUCCGGAAUUACUGGGCGUAAAGAGCUCGUAGGUGGUUUGUCGCGUUGUUCGUGAAAACUCACAGCUUAACUGUGGGCGUGCGGGCGAUACGGGGCAGACUAGAGUACUGCAGGGGAGACUGGAAUUCCUGGUGUAGCGGUGGAAUGCGCAGAUAUCAGGAGGAACACCGGUGGCGAAGGCGGGUCUCUGGGCAGUAACUGACGCUGAGGAGCGAAAAGCGUGGGGGAGCGAACAGG
rnacentral:rRNA from 1 species